rnacentral:rRNA from 1 species
CCCCCCUUUUUGGGGCAAAAGUUGGGCCACCCCCCCCCCGGGGAUAACCCACAGCCCCCUACGGUGUAUAAUGGUGGUUGCCGCAGAAAAAAAUAAUUAUUAAUAAAAUAUUUUUUGAAAAUUUUUAUUAUAAUAUCCACAUUCUCAUAUUACUAUUUUUUUUUAGUAUAUGAAAUUUUACUUUGAGAAAAUUAGAGUGCUUAAAGCAGGCAUAUGCCUUGAAUACUCCAGCAUGGAAUAAUAUUAAAGAUUUUUAUCUUUUUUAUUGGUUCUAAGAUAAGAAUAAUGAUUAAUAGGGACAGUUGGGGGCAUUUGUAUUUAACAGUCAGAGGUGAAAUUCUUAGAUUUGUUAAAGACAAACUAAUGCGAAAGCAUUUGCCAAGGAUGUUUUCAUUAAUCAAGAACGAAAGUUAGGGGAUCGAAGACGAUCAGAUACCGUCGUAGUCUUAACCAUAACUAUGCCAAUGAAAGACCAGGU